ensembl:lncRNA
GGAACAUCCUAGCAGUUAGUGAUAGACAUCCUGCGUGCUUUGGAAAUUAAUCAGUCUGAUUUAUUUACAUUUUUCCUCUCUCUACUACUCUAGCUUUCCCUGCUUAAUUCAUUUGAAUCUUCCCAACCUUUCUCCACUUUGUGCAGCAAGUCAUCCUAUCAGCACUAAUGUAUGUUGUUAAAUGGACAAAAUGUUUUGUGAAAACAAUCCAAAGAGACUGUCACAUUACCUUUCAUUCUUAUUGAGUUGCUUUCAUUUGUCAGAGAAUCACUUUUUCAUAUUGUUUCCUUGCAGUCUUAAAGCAUAUGAAACAGAAGGUCUUACUUUUUCUUCUGUUUUCUUCUCACUUUCUGUCUCACUAGCCCUCCCUAUCACAUCAGUCUGUGUGAUUUGUGUGUGUCUUUUUUGUAUCUUUCAUGUCUUUACUAUCUUCACUGACUUGUCUCAACCAACUUGCAAUUGCACUGUAAGCUCGGCAUCAGUUUCCUGGGUGGUUAUCCCUAGAAAUCAGUCACAGCAGUCUUACAGUGUUCUUCCUCCACAUGAGAUCCAUGGGCUGUAUAUAUUUUCUGAUGCUCCACUCCUUGGCAGUCUUGACUCCCUUGACUUUCCAGGCAGGAAACUUUGGUCUAUUAGAAGACAUUUCUCACACAUCUUCUGUUUGUCCCAAGGCCAUCACAAGACUUCCUCAGUCCAUCUCACGAGAAUACACAGCCCUGCUGGCCAAGACUUUCACUGUUUGUGUGGUGCUGAGCAAUCAGCAGGAUCUGCUCUGGUGACCUUGCAGUACAGUCUCUACACCCUCAGAACAAACGCAACAAGGGAAGAAGAUGCACAGAGCGUCAGGGUGUCACAGCAGUAAUUUCCCUGAGAGCAAAUCCUU